UGUGAAAAACAGUUAACAACAGUAAAGAUAAUAAUAUCAAACCUUCAAUUGCAACUUUCUAUAAUGAAGUCAAUGUACCUCGACCUUAUGGAAUUGAGAAAAAUUGCAAAAAUGUUACAUCCGCAAACAAGGACAUCAAGAUUUUAGAAUGUCACGAGCAGAGAAUUUAUAAAACGGACUGGAUUCGUCUAUUUUAUGAGAAGCAGUAAUUGGGAACAUAAAGGAGAAAUCUUCAGUUGCGUCAACAUUCAACUUCAGCUCCACUUGCUCGCUAACAGAAGCGUCACCUGCUGUAGUGACACAUCUAAUUAAAAAGGCGUGGACAUUGCAUGCUAUGAUCCUGGAUUUCCUAAUGUUUCCCACGCGAAAUAACAAACACAAACUUCGAUCUCUUUGGUUAAUGAUUGCUGUUUUCGAAAAUAGAAUGGUCUGCGCACGAUUCUUGGGUCUCGUCAAUUUGGCGAAUAGAAUACCAACGAUGAAAGACUGGACGAUAGUUCCGAGAAUGCUCUCGAUACACAUAGUGAACAUAGCUUCUGGGCACUCCAUGGUGAGCGCACGGUUUCCAUAACCGACCGUCGUGUGGACUUCGAUGCUGAACAGGAAAACAGACGUAAAGCCAUAAAUUUGUCGAAUACAGGGUUCCCAUUUCGUUCCAUUUGUGAAAUUUUCUUGAUCCAAGUCGCCGUGGAGAUACAAUAUGGACCAAUAUAUUCCGGAGAAGAAAAGCCAUACUGUUAUGUAGGUGAUGAGGCAGUAGAGCAGGGUCCAUCGCCACCUGGCUUCAACAAAAGUAGUGACGAUGUCAGGAAACACAUGAAGUGUCGAUGUCUUCCUUUUCUCCAAAUUGAACUGGCCUGAUUUUGUGACCACUCUUUGUUUUGUUUUGCAUGGAUUUCCGUAUCGAUGACAUCUGAAAUAAAUAUUUAAACAUAAUUUUAAAACCAGUGCCGUGAACUAGAAGGGCGCUAGGUUAACAGAACAAAACAAAUCUUACAAACGCUUCGAGCGUAGGUUGAUGAUGGUUUUUCGCGCAUCAUGAAUUGUCACUGCACUAUUCAUAAGAUUUUGUGUUCCGUUUGUAACUUCCAUAGCAAUAUUACACUUAGAAUAAAAUAUUUAUAAGUAAGUAUCUUACUAGUUUUUACAUAGCACUGAAUAGAAAGAGGAUAGAACUGACUUAUUACCUGUGUACUUUAUUUCUUACGCUUCAAUAGUAAUCGGCAUGGAACGGCAUCACUAGAUUUAACUUACUGAUACGAGUAAUUCAUAUUUGUGUAAGAAUUUGAUAAGACUUAGCCUCCGUGAUUCGUCGCUGAUAAAAGAAAACAAAUGUAGUUCAAAAUGUCAAGUAGGUAUACCAAGUAACAGUUUAGUGAGAAAAUUUUUGUUAAGUAGCUUUUUAUACUGUCUACGGUCCUUUUACAGUAGGUGGCACGGUAGCAUAGGAUCAUACCACUGGUGAUCACACAUAAACGUCGGACAACAUGUAUUUCAAAAGGUUUUGCUCAUUUCUAGUAAAUUCUAACAAUUUCGCAAGUAUGCAUAACCUAGUGUACCAAAUUGUAUACCUAUUUGUUCAAUUACGAUAAAAAUUUACUAACUCGAAUCACAGUUGGCUUGCAGUUGUAAAAAUAUAUAUUUACUUAAUAAUUUAGAAAAAAAUCACAUGUAGUAGAAGACUAUAUACAUGAUAUUCUUAGAUUGGUACUCGACUUACCUACCUCUUGUUAAUGUUUUUUGUUCAUGCACACAUACAAAUCUCUCGUCCACAUUUCUAUUCUAAGUUUGAAUAGUUGUGAAGUUGACGUUGUUGAAGAAAAUGCUGCAGUACAAUUUGUUACCGCUUCUUCUACACUGACGAUUUGGCAGUAAACUUAGUUUUAAGUAAUUUAUUUGACGUCAACCAAUGUUGUGAAUCCAAAAGAUAUGACAAUUAUUAAGUGAUAUGAAGUAUCCCAUUGAAUUUUGAAUUUUAAUUGUUGAAUUUAAAUAACCAAUUAUGUAGGUAUUGUUGGCCAUUUUUCCUUUGGGUCAUUUAGGAACGAUGUUCUCAGGCGAUAUGUUUUAUUGAAACUUCUGAAAAAAACAUUAUAAUAGCUAACAAAUAGAAUAAGUGUGUAAGCAGAUACUGUAGUAUUGUUUAUAUUAUAAACGAGCGCAUUAAAGAUACAUACAUAAUUAAAAAUCAUGUCUUCAUCCCUUAUGGGAGCCGUAGGCGAAGCCAACAAUCCCCAAAAGACCGAGAGGCCAUGUUCAGCUGUAUGAUUAAAAAUGCACUAUAACUUUGAAAUACGAGUACAAUAAGUAUUUAAAUAACGAUUUUAUAAGAUUUGCUGGUAAUUAAUAUGAGAGGUAUUUUUCAUGACAGACAAACUGUAUAUUUUUGGUUUGUCUAAAAGAUUUACAAGGAAAUUGCUACAGACUAUGUGCUAUGCUUAAGUUUACGAAAUGCGGUCGAUGGAAAGCGGCCAACAAAACGUCUUGUAUUUUAGGCGUCGCUAACUACUCACCACAAGAUGGCGGUAGCUGUAACAAAGCUUAUAACGUUUACUUACAUGAUAUAAACAUAAUUUAAAUGAUGUUAAAUAAGAUCAUAAUUAAUAAAUAACUAGCGUAAGUUUAGCGUUAUUGAAAUGGUUAUUAUGAAUAUACAUUCUACUAAAUGAGAUAGUUAAUACACUUAGGUACUUAGUUUUCUACUCAAUCUCAGUUUGAUCCUAAAGUUCGACUGUUAGAGAAUUCCUUUGGCAUUUUUUUAAAGUGUUGUUAUUUUACUCAACAGAUUUUACUUUAUAGAUUAUCAACUAUUUUAUAACGACAAUUUGUUUACUGCUACGUAAUAAAAGGUCCGCAAUCCUUACAUAACAACCUCCACCAUUUUUCCUUGGGCGAUCCAGAUAAAUCCAAUACCUCAACGUGGAUAUCCGACAUAGGAUGCAAUUGCUACAGGAAAGAGCAACGGCCAUGGCAGUAAGAGCCGCACAUGCGAGGGAAGCUAAUUCGAUAAUCGCCGUGCUCUUGAACGUGCACGAUGACAGAACAUCUGUCAUAUGAGUUGAUACUCAGAGCAGAGUAAUAAUGAAGCGUAGAGAGCUACAGUCUACACCCCACGUCGUCAAGCGUUCUGACUUUAGCAGAAAAUUUAUUUCAUUAAAAUUAAAUGUGCCAGGUUUAGUCCUACCUUUGGAGUAUGUACUUAACCGGGAGCUCUCAUGAAAACGUACAUCUGAUGAAUUCUUUUAAUAUUAAUUGCUAUCUGAACUUUAUUUAAAAUUCAAAUUAAAACAUAUUUUUUAAAAAAACUUUUAGUUACUAUAUUUAACUUAGGCCCGUUUUUGGCGAAAGAUAAAUGUAAGGCCUAAUAUUUGUAAUAUUCUUGAAGAGUUUCUGCUGUUGAUAGCCAAACAAAGGGUCAAUGUAAAUCUCGCCUUGGAGUCAAUAUCCCGUUUUCUUUGUUCGCCAAUUCGCGGGCUAACGCACAUAAGUAUAUCUUAUCUGAGUUGUACUUGGUGGGUGUAGUUAAGAUUAGAUACGAUUUAAAUUUAAUGGUAUUACCAGGACUAAGAAAUGGUUUAUGAGCGAUCGUCAGACAGACAGACUACUAAUUGUUUUUUGAUUAAUUAUAGCAAAAAAAUUAAUUAGAGAUGAAUGGAGGACGUUCCACUUUACUCAACCGACAAGAGUUAGCUCUUAAAUCUAAGAAUAAGAAGGAAUGGAGUUCAGACGGCAUUUGAUUCGCGUUACUGCCUUUUUUAUCUUGCAUCGUGGCAUACCACAGGUCUGACCCAAGGGGCCGGUCCUUCCGGAUAAAUACCUAAAUUAGUCCAUACAAAUGGAGACAAAUCAAAAUGAAGCGUUGCAAAUAACAAAAUAUGAAAUGUCUUCUUAACUUUUUCUCGAAAAUAAAAUUUUAUAACUUUCUCUUUCUUAUUACUUUUUUCAUCUCAUAUGACACCUACAUAUGUAAAGUUAAAAAAGGGUAGGUACUAUGGAAUUCUACCGAAAAACAAUAAUAAGAAAACAAGAGUAAGAAUAUGAUACGACUAAAUUUUGCAACCAUGAGUUGUAGGACUAGGUCAGUUUAACUGGUUUAGAUAUUAUGUUAAACUUAAUUGAUUUACCUUACUUAAUAAAUGCAACUGAAGAGAUGUUGCGAUUCAUGAAAUGAUAAGUUGUGGUCUGAGAAAACAAAUGACAUCUAAUCAAUUUAAAUACUAAAUAAGGCACUGGCUGACUUUGGACUGCCAGUUUUAAAUUUGGUAUGCAUUUUUCAUAAUAUGGUCUAGGCUUCGUAAAGAGUAUCUAUUCAAUUUUAGGCUUCGUCGAUGAAAAAUUAGAAGGAUGCAGGAUUUUUCGAUUAAAAUGCGGCGGCGGGCGCGUACUUGACAUACUAUAGUUACUUUAUAACUAUAACAUAACAAAUAACAGACACAAUAAUUAAAAUGAUUGAGACAUAAUUGGUAUCAUAUUUAAUUUUCAACAUACCAAGUCAGUUUGGACUCUUCAAUAAUUGUUCUGCUUUGCGGUAAAAGGAGACAUGCGGUUCUUUCUUAACCGGUCGGUUUAUGAGUGAUUGGCAGACAGACAGACGACAAAUGGGACAGGCAGGUGGCAGGUUUUGAACAAUGUAAGGUGCCAUGGCGUAAUAGUGUGCAGAGGCGUCAUGUUGAAAGGGUGAUGAACUUAUUAGUUAUUCUGAGAGAAAUGGCAGACAUGCAUAUUUUACGCUUAUGUGAUUUGUAAUAAUAAGUAUUCAAAUAAAGAUAUCGUAUGUUCGAGAUUAAAGUACUGAUUCAAUCACUGAACUGUACCUACUACACAUAAUGUUCUAUACAUCACUGUUAUUAGUAUUUUUUGUAAUAAACAAUAGGAAUUAUACCUACAUACUCGUAAGCACUAGGUAGGUAAAAUAGGUACCUAUACCAUAUUUUACGCUUAGGUAAUUUUUUUAAUACUUUUGCUAAAUCAUCGCUAAAUAAAUAAGGAUUUCUAAGUAUAAUGUUUUGGUAAACACAUUAAAAUUAUCUGAUAUAAAAGAUGCUCUGAUCCAUUUUAUUGAUACGAUUAAUUUUACUACGUAAACGUUAAUGGUUAUGUUUAACCUCAAGUCUGCACUGCAAUACUUGAAAUCCAAACCCAACCAUAAUUGUCAGUACCUACAUAACAAAAAGUUUGAAUUGGAGUAAAAAAAUUAAAAACAAAUAUUAUUAAAAUUACACAGUUAUAUCACGACGGAUGUUCAAAUGUAAUCUGCAACGGCUAAAAGCAUCCAGUCAAUUGUUUCGAGCGCGUGGCCAGUUAGACAAUUGGUAUAGGUAGUUCUACCUCUGCGCAAGAGUGGCUCAGUCCUCGCUAUCCUGGCGACCCGGCCGCACAUGCUGGGUCUGACCCUAAUCUCGAAAUAUUGACAAUUUCGCACAUAGUUUAUAUGGCAACAUUGUGGUUGAAGUGAUGUUGUGUUCGAUAUGAUUCGCCCCGUUGAAAUUUGUGGAAAAUUGACAAAGUAAUAUGGAACCGACAAGCAAAAACCUCAAGCCAACAUCCAUCAUAAAAUCUAAUAUGAAAACAAAACUCAAUCCAAUAUUGUGACGACAAAAUGGCCACGGAGUCGGCAUACGAAAUGAAGGUGAGAGAGGAGAAAGAGAAGGCGAAGGUGUCUCCCUCGACUGGGAAGAUAUUCUACAAACCUGGAGUCAUAGAGGAGGAAACUGAUGAAACCAGCGCCUUUGAUAGUUCAGCUGUGGAGUCGCCUAUGCUGGGCUAUGGGAGUUUUUUGAAGCCCGCUGCCAUGCCGACUUCAAGUAGCCUUCACAGGAUACCCACUUACAGCAGCUCCAUUGGCCAGAGCACGAUUUAUAGACAG